GGUUUUAUGGUGUAGUGGUUAGCACUUAGGACUUUGAAUCCUACGACCAGAGUUCGAAUCUCUGUAGAACCG
rnacentral:tRNA from 1 species